CUGCCGCGGCGAGUGCCACUGCAACUGAACCGCCGCCUUGUGUCAAAGUGAACAGCAAAUAUUAUUUUUUGGACACUUUGCUAUCAGGUCGACGCCGCGUCGCCCAGAGCCAGGAGGCGUCCUGCUCCUCGAUUGAUAUCAGCCUAAGCCGAGGCAAAUGACCCGGCCGUGUCGAUGUUCAGUGCCUGCUCCUGCCGCAACGCAAGCUCCAGUUCCAGCUCAAACUCCAACUCCAGGUGGCAGUCGCUCUGUCUUGACCGGACCUGACCGGGAUCCAUUGUUCGCAGCUCAGUCUUUUGUGCCAGUUGUCGCAUUCGGGGCUUGGAUCCGUGGCCAUGUCUGCCGUCCGACAUCGGGCCAUUGUCUGCGGCGGCCAUUGAAACGGAGAGUGGUUCCAAUUGUGUAUAAUUGAAUAUCGGGAAAGAACUCGACACAACACAAAAUGAGAGAAAUAAAAGAGGAAAAGGAACAAACUGGUUGUAAAUCAACUCGAGCCGGUUCGGGGUCGUUUGUUGCCAAAAAUACAAGAAUUAAUUAUAAUAAUGACAAAGAACAAGCGCUUCGACCUCGCCCCUAUUCCGAUUGCGAUACCGACUCUCACUACGUCCCCAUCAUCCGCCAUCUUCAUCCUCGCGUCCGUUUCGGUGUCCGUGACUCUAGAUGGCCCCCGCCGAGCGCGUUCGGGGGCUAAUUGUGAAUGUGGAUUACAAUUUCGCGUGUGCGUCUCCAGUCCGAGGCGAAGAAAGAAAAGCCAGAAAAAUGAAUUUAACAAUAUUUCCUCCACGGAGUGCUCUUGCUUUGGACUCUUUGGUCGGCCGUCCCCAUUCUGUAGUGGCGUCCACUGCAGUGGAGGUGGAAUCGGAGACGCAGACGGAGCCGCGCGCCAGGCCCGUUCCUGGACGAACAUCUCGCGCUUGGCCGGCCUCUCGUGUUCGCUGGGCGUGACUUCAAUUAAAGUGAUUUGUGGCCUCCGUUUUUGACAUUCGAGACUUAAAUAGUAAGCCUGAUUCAUGGGGCAGCUAAAGUAUUUUUGCACACCGUCCCCGACCCAACAAAGUCGCCCUGUCACGCACUGAGCCACGAAGUCGCCUCUCAGGGGGCUGAUUGAAUUGGGCACCCCGUCUGCUCACACCCAGACAAAAUGCCGUCGGGGCUAAGCAAAUGCCAGUCCAUGCGAAGCGGGUAGCAAAAAUGCGCCAUCAUGGCACGGCAUAAGAAGAAGAUAACAAAGAAGAAGAAGCGCGGAUGCGAGAGAGAGAGCGAAAGAGAGAGCAGUCGCAGAAGAGAGCAAAAAAUUCGGAAUGAAUGCCUUUGGAAUGUGGUGAUUCCGAUACGCCGACGCUGACGUCGCAGUCGCUGUCGCUGGCAUGGCUGCCUAUCGACAGCAGUGGCAGCCAUCAUGGAUGAGAGAGAAAACAACGGUCUCGUUCUCGCUGGAGCCACAGCCAUAGCAGCCAUGCUGUCCGAAACGCUGCCGCUAGCACUCACCUGCGGCGGCGGCUGUUGUGAAGUUCUGUGACGUGACUGAAAAAAUGUCGGAGCCAAGAGCCAAGCCCGGGCCGGGCCGAGAUCGGAAUAGAAAUCCGAAACGUGACAGGGAAAAAGGAGAAAGACAAUCGUUGUGCGGGCGAGUGCUCCUGUUGCGGCGGCUGUGCCGGCCAACUGCGCCUGCGUCGGGGCCCGGGAAUAGGACGGGCACUGGGCCCGGACCUGGACUCGAAUCCCAACAAGGACUUUCAGGGUUUGAUUCCGUUUCGGCCCCUGGGGAGAGGAUGUCGCCAGGCUGCAGCUGUUCCAGCUCUUCGACGUGGGACGCAGACGGGACUCUGGACUCUCUCAUCUGCGUGUGUGUGUGUGCUAGGCGUGUGUGCGGUUGUGUGUUUUUAUGGCAUUUGUGGAUUAUACCCAUAAAAACUACACUUCCCCACGGAGAUACAGAGCGCACGAACAAAGGAUGAUAAUUGGAAAAGUCCCGCAGCCACUCAACUGAUACAACCUGUCGCACGGGAGAUUACAACGGAGCUGUUUCUUUUAUGGUUUGUUCCGCUUUUGUUUAGGGGUCCCGUCCCAAGGAUCAGCACGCAAUCCCACCUCCAGCUCAACUCAACACGAAUCGACUCGACUCGAUUCCACUCAUGCCGUUAUUUCCAUCCCUCUUUCGGUUUGCGGAGGCAACUCAAAAUAGUGUUUUAUUGCUGUAAAUUAUUCUUUCAGUUAUUUACUUUUUAUUUGCCGCUGCUCUGUGCUCUCUGGCCUUCCCGCUCGGGCAGCGUUCACCCAGUUUCAAAUUUUUAUUAGUUUAUUACGAUUAUUAUCGUUUAAUGGGGCUCGUUUGCACCGCUGACGCUCACUCGUUAUUGUUGUUGUAAAAGUUUUUGUAGUUCUUUUUGGUUGCUGCUGCUUUUGCGGUUGAGCAGAGCAACGUGUGAAGGUGUUUUAUUAUUUGUUUUGAUUAUCAAAAUGAGCAUUUUACAUUUUUCCGGUCGUUGGGCGGACCACCUGCCCAUGGCCCAUGGCCCUUGGCCUAUGGCUGAAUGGCAGUAAAUCACUGCCCGCUGUGAGUGCUCCGUGAGCAUGUGCGAGUGCACCCAGUGGGGCCAGGCACUCACUCCUUCAUUCGCACUCGCAGUACGACCCAUAAACUUAAGACAAAGUGUGGCAAAAUGCUUAAUUUGGAAUUUAUGAGCAAUUAAUUUUAAAAUUCUCUUGUGUCCGUUAACGCUCCUCCACCACCACACCCCAACCCCACCACGUCUGACACCAAGCCAUAAAAGAUCCGCUAAAAUUUGAUUAUUUAGCCACUCCGCUGAUUGAUCAUUAUUCAGUUGUUAUCGCUCAACACGAACACGGGAUUUGGCAAUCCGAGCCAGGCCAAUUGGGCAACGGCCAUAAAACUACUCGAAAGCCAAUUACAAUUGAAUUAUUCGGGUUGGUCGUAAAUCGAGAAUCAUAUUAUAUUUGACAGCUACCUUAGAAAGAGAGAGUGCAUGUAGAUAAGGGAAUUUAAAUAUAAUAUUACAUAUAGAAAAUGUAAACACUAAAAAUGCAUAAG